rnacentral:tRNA from 1 species
GCGAGCGUGGCGGAAUUGGCAGACGCGCCAGACUUAGGAUCUGGUGAGUAUUGUACUCGUGAAGGUUCAAGUCCUUUCGCUCGCA